GUCGUGGAGAAUAGUUGAAAGUUUCGUACCACAUUCGUCUUUAUCUAAUGGAAUAUGCAUCAAUGGGUUUAUGUAUUACUUAGCUGCGCGCAAAGACGCUAGAUCACGUCUUAAACCUAUUAUGCUAGUUUGUUUUGAUAUUACGUUAGAGAAGUUCACCUUUCUUGAUGCGGACAUUAUGAUUUGGAGGUAAACUCUUAUAGAUGCCAAAGGUAAGUUAGGCGCAGUUCACCCUUGUGAGACUAUUUUUUUCAGUGAAGCUACAAGCUUUGAGCUGUGGAUUCUAGAUGAUAUGGAGAAUGAGAAAUGGUCGAAGCAUGUCUACCAGUUGCCGUCUUCCUGGAAGAAUCUGGUUGGGAAACUUCAGGUGAUAAAUGUUGUAGGGAUGACUGGUGCAGGCGAUAUCGUGCUCGCCCCAGAGUAUUUGGAUAAUGAUCCUUUCUUCAUUGUGUAUUACAAUGUGGUGAAAAACACAGUCGGAAAGGCUAUAGUCCAGUUAGGAGUUGUUAUUCGUGAUGGUCAUCUGAUGAAUGUUCAGACUUUCAUGGACCAUGUAGAAGAUGUGAAGCUUUUGCAAGUGCUGGGCAGUUCUUAGGACUUUACAAUGAGCGUUGUUGUGCUUAUAUCAAUCCAUUCGUGUAAGCAACAUUUGUUCCUUUACUAUUGUAUGACUAUUAUUUAUAUAUGUGUACUGUAUUUUGGUUUAUUUAUGUCUUUGAGGAAACUCGAAACAUAAUCGAUAAUUGUUGUAAGCUGUUUCAUUAGAUAUUUUAAACUCUCUCUUUUUUAUCAUGAGCAAAAUUAACUCACUUUGUAUCUUUGUGUUAUCCAUCCAAAGAUAUGUUGAGAAAAUAAUCCAUCCAUUUGUAAAACCGUUGAAGAACUUGGUAAACCUACGAGUAACAAAGAUGAUUCUAGUGAUCCACGAGCUCAUUGCAAUAUUUACAAUGGCAGUGAAGAAGAAGAAAAGGCACGACAAUACUUCUAUUCUUGGAACUAGGAAGGAUCUCUCUGGAAUAUAGAAUGCAUUACUUUUAAUUAAAGAUGUAAUAAAUAAAUAAAGUUGCUUGUUUACAUGUCUUUGGUGUUGUUCUAGAGAAGGUAUGAUUACAUGUAGCUAGCCUAGAUGUGUCGGUGUUAGACUAUAAAUACAGAAGCAAAAUCACUAGAACAGAAUUAAAAUCUUGCGACUUGUGAGACAAGAUGGAAUCUAAAAAUUGAAAGAUACGUGAGUUAAACGUUCAAGCUCAUAAUUAAGCUUUUAGUAAAACAAAAUCUAAACCUUAAACCUGUAAUUUGUAAACACUGAAUUCUUAACCCAAACUGAUUGCCUAAGCCUAGUUGAAGAUUUAUAAUUAAAUAACAAAAAUCUUAAAUCUUAAAUUAAUACAUAUAUAAACAUUUUUUAAAAUUUCAAAUAUAUAAAUAAAAUAGAGAUAACUACAGAAUUGGGGGAAAAUGAAACUAAUAUACUUUAUGAAAAUAAAACUAAUUCAUAAUUUUGAUAUUACAAUUAAUAACAUUUUAAACAGACUACAAAUAAUUUACAUGCGGUAUAUCAUUUAAAAAGUAUAUAGACUAAUCGUAAGGAGUAAAAAUUUAUAUUUACAAAACCUUAAAUAUUAAUUGCAAAAGAAAUCAAUUACACGAAAUAUAGAGUACCACAUAAUGUAGGUUGUCUUUUGUUAAAAUAUUAGUCACAUGAUUUAAAAAGUUUUUUUUCUGAAUAUUUGGCCACAACUAACCGAUCCAUUAGCCAAAUUUCUAUAUUUAUAAAAGCAAAAAAACAAUUCUUGGUAUGGUGGUGCAUGUUCUUAAUGAACAUAUUAUUUCCUACUAGAUUAUUGGCCACUUCACGAAAAUUAAUUAAUUCAAAAAAUAUUUAAUUGUAAAGUUAUACCGAGCAUAGUCCAGAGUUUCCUCUAGUAAAAUAUAUAUAGGCCCAAAAUCAAUGGUAUGAUUGGGUAUAUAUAUAUCUCUGUAUAAAGUGUAUAUAUCUAUGUAUAAAAAAUUACUACCUAAUGAUGGAUAAUAAUCUAUAUAUAUAAUAAUAAAGGUGCUACAAAAGAAAUAUAUAGGUAAAAAAGAUUAGAUGAAAAAAGAGAUAAGAUAAAAACAAUGGUAGAAAUAGAAAAGAAUCCAAAAGGUGGCAGCUGUCGUGUAACUAGUGGAAUGUAAAAUCUUGGAAGACGAUAUAAAUCUUGGGUAUAUAUCUAUGUAUAAAUCUAUGUAUAAAGUGUACAUAUAUAUAUCUAUGUAUAAAUCUAUGUAUAAAGUGUACAUAUCUAUGUAUAAAAUUACUACCCAUUAUGGAUAAUAAUCUUUAUAUAUAAUAAUAAAGAUACUACAAAAGAAAUGUAUAGGAAAAAAAGAUUAGAUUACAAAAGAGAUAAGACCAAAACAAAUAGAAAUAGAAAAGAAUCCAAAAGGUGGCAGCUGUGUGUAAAUCUAGUGGACUGUAGUUAAGGGUUUUGUAAAAUCUUGGAAGACCAUAUAUAAACCAUAGGUGGCUGUUGUGUUUGUCUAUUGGUACAAGCUCAAAAGGGUUUCAAUGGCCGCCAAUAAAAAACUGAAGGAGCACCUCUCCAGUGAUGAGGCUCCCCUAACCAUAUCUUCAACGGAUGGGUUAGUAAAAAAGUCUCGUACGCAGCUGCCAACUGAUCUCAUAGUGGAAAUACUCUCCAGACUGCCUACCAAAUCCGUGGCGAGGUCUCGAUGUGUUUCCAACAACUGGAACUCUCUUCUUCGCGACCCAUAUUUCACCGAUGCAUUCAUGAAGAGGUCGUCUGCUCGCCCACGUCUCCUUUUAACAUUUCAAGAUGAGGGUACGUGGUAUUUCUUCUCUUCACCUGGGCACAACAUGAAUUCCAAUCUUUUAGUAGUUGAUAGUCAUAUGGAGGUCCCUAAACCUCUCGCCUGUCGAGUUUGUGUCCCUGUUUGUGGAUUGUUGUGUACAAGAGAUGAGUGGCGUUUAAGUGGUAGGAAGGAUGCAAGGAUGAGUAUAUGUAACCCUAGCACCGGACAAUUCCAAUCUCUACCCAAAGUGAGAACGUGGAGGUGUCAGGUCAUAACCUAUUUAGGUUUUGAUCCAAGCGAAAAACAAUAUAAGGUAUUGUGCAUGACAAUUUGUAGAAGGCCCUUUUUGUAUAAAGCGGAAUAGUAUCAAGUUCUCACGGUAGGAACGGGCAACCUACAAUGGAGAAUGCUUGAGUGUUCUGUAGACCACAUACCUCUUCGUAGGGAGAUUUGCAUCGAUGGGAUGCUAUAUUACUCAGCUAGAGAUACGGAGUAUAACAAUAUGUUAGUUUGCUUUAAUGUUAAGCAGGAGAAGUUCAACUUUAUCAAGAACAAUGAUUUUGGGUUUCCGACAACUUUGAUAAAUUACAAGGGUAAAUUAGGAGGAAUCCGUUGUAGCCCAACCACUUUCAUUGAUGGAACAGCUGAAAGCUUUGAGUUAUGGGUUAUAGAAGACACUGAAGAACAUAAAUUGUCAAAACUUGUUCACAUAUUGCCGCCUAGGUGGAAGGAGCUAGUUGCGGAGACUGAAGUUUGCAUUGUUGGGAUAAUUAAUGGAACCACUGAAGUUGUGUUUGCUCCGAACGUCUUGUCUGAUCCGUUCUACAUAUUUCACUUGGAUAUGGAGAGGAACUCUAUCAAAAAAGUUCAAAUUCAAGGGCUUGGCCCUGUUAGAGGUCAAAGCAUUUACACCUUCUUAAACCAUGUCGAGAAUGUGAAUCUUAUUAUGUAAUAAGCUGUUAUUUUAAAUUUCAUAAAAACUUCAGAUCAAUGCUACUGUUUUAUUUUCUCCUAAUUUAUUUCAUAAGUACAAUAUUUCCUUUUUCUUGUUUUGAUUAUCUUAUUUCUAUUGUAUAUAUUGGGUGUAUAUCAGUAUUUGUAUGCUCGUUGAUAACUAUGUAAUUCUCGAUUCAAGUUAAUUAAAAAACUGAAAGUAGAUAAGUAUAUAUACACCCUCAAAUAUUUUAUUGGUUUCAGUAUGUAACCCAUAAAAUUGAAACAUUUAUAUUUCAAACAACAAUAAGAGAACAAAUGUUUUGGGCAGAUAAUAAUUUAAAUAUAUAAUGGCCCAUUUUAAAAAACUGUUACUCUUUCUUUAAGUAAGGAAAACAAAAUUUUGUAUGGCUAAAAACAGAAUCGGUGACUUAGAAAAUAAACGGUGGAGAUGAGUGGAGAGAGUUAUCUCAAAAUGAUUUUUUAUCUUUUUUGUCUUUUUGUCUGAUUUUGCCCUUUGUUUCUUCUGACAGCCAUACAUAAAAAUUAGGGCAAAUAGAUAUUGUUGUCCUAGUGUGAUUCUAGAGCUCAUGUGCCGUCAUGGAGGCACAAGAGAAUCAAGUCCCCAAGAUGAAUCCCCUAAGCAUCUCCGAAAGGUCUAUACCAAUUGAUCUCCUCAUCUCAGUAUUCUCGAGAUUGCCCGUGAAAUCCAUCGGAAGGUGCCGUUGCGUCUCCAAGCAAUGGUCUUACAUUCUCCGCCGUCGAGAUUUCACCGACUUGUACCUGAAAACAUCAUCGACUCGUCCCUGUCUCUUGUUCAACCUCAAAGUCAACGGUAAGUGUCUCUUCCUCUCCGCACCUCAGGACCAGAUCAGCUCGUCUGUUUUAGUUGCCGAUCGUCGCAUGAGUUUCCCCACUGAAGAUGCUUCUUGUGGUGUUUCACGUCCUGUCUGCGGAUUGGUCUGUAGUUUGGAUAUGAAUCCAUCGAUCUGUAACACAAGCACUGGGCAGUGCAUCACUUUACCCAAGAUGAAGAUUGCAUCAGGAGGAGGUACUGUGAAUGUCUACUUUGGAUAUGAGCCGGUCCGUAAACUGUUCAAGGUAUUGCGCAAGUCCAAGGACGACUAUCGAGUUAUGACAUUAGGAAGGGGAGAACUGUCGUGGAGAAUAGUUGAAAGUUCCGUAGCCCAUUCGUCUUUAUCUAAUGGAAUAUGCAUCAAUGGGUUUAUGUACUAUAUAGCUGUGCGCAAUGACCCUAGAUGUCUUAAACCUAUUAUGCUAGUUUGUUUUGAUAUGUCGUUAGAGAAGUUCACCUUUCUUGAUGUGGACAUUAUGCUUUGGAGGUCAACUCUUAUAGAUGUCAAAGGUAAGUUAGCUGCCGUUCUCCCUUAUGAGACUAUCUUUUUCAGUGA
rnacentral:lncRNA from 1 species